rnacentral:lncRNA from 1 species
CCAAAAUAUAAUUAGAGUUAUGUAUUUUGUCUAAAGCAUCGACUGAAUUAUGAAAGAUGGUUAUCCUAUCAUAAUAGACUAGAAAAUUGAUAAUACUCCUUCUAGUAGGUCCGGACCAACCAUCACACAUCAAUGUCACUCCAUAAGUGUUCCACUCUCUUUUAUAACUUUCAAUCCAAGAUUUAAUAUUUGCAACUUGCUGUUGCAAAUAUAGUCCAUGUAUCUCAUAGGAUGUAGGAGGAUC